rnacentral:rRNA from 1 species
UGAGACCUACGGGAGGCAGCAGUGAGGAAUAUUGGUCAAUGGGCGCGAGCCUGAACCAGCCAAGUAGCGUGAAGGAUGACUGCCCUACGGGUUGUCCCCUUCUUUUCUCAAGGCCUCCCGUGCGGCCCGUGUGCCUUUUUGUAUGUACUUUAUGAAUAAGGAUCGGCUCCGUCCGUGCCCGCAGCCGCGGUACUACGGAGGCUCCGAGCGUUCUCCGGCUUUCUUGGGUUUACCGGGCGCGUCGCUGGGUUGCUCCGUCCGUUGUGCCCGUUUGCGGCUCAA